AAUACAAAUAAUAAACAAAUACAUUUCUACAUACAAUGAACAUAAACACAAUAAAACAUGAAACAAUAACCCCCUGCUCCCAUUGAGAAAUGGACUAUGCCAACACUACCCAGAAUUCUUUGGGAUGGCAUAAAAUGAGGAACAGGAAGGCCGCUCAUCCUCUUAACACCCACCCCCGGAAACCAUGCUGCAGACAUGAACCCAGAAGGGACAGAAGAACAUGUGUUUAUCCGGUGAAGAGAGGCUCAUGAUGCUGAAUGCUGUCAUCAAAGGCUUUGAAGCUUAUGUGGUGGAGCAGGACCUGCAAGCAAAGAUGAUGCAGCAUUUGUUGAGGGGAAAAAAGGUUUUAGGGAUUUUACUCAAAUAUAAAGAUCUGACAUGUCUGCAGACUGGUGUGAGUACUGAGGAUGAGGAGCCCAGAGCUGAAUCCUGGAAGUGGUGCCAUGGAUGAGUCCCUCCAUCUCUCCACCUGGCCUUACGUGACCCUCUUUCGCUCCACCUGCCCUUAUUGCCUCAGAUUGUGAAGCGCCGCGUAGCAACAAGCUCUGGCACGAAGGCACAGUCACCUGUGGUGAAUUCAGCAGAAUAAAGCCGCAGAAUGGGAACUGCUGAGUUGAGAUGGCAGUAGGGUUUGGGGUUCAGUGCCUGUAGUUUGAAUAAAGCAUUGUUUCAUGUGUUGUUGACUUGUA